rnacentral:rRNA from 1 species
GGGCAAUCUGCCCUGCACUCUGGGACAAGCCCUGGAAACGGGGUCUAAUACCGGAUAACACUCCCGCACUCAUGUGUGGGUGUUGAAAGCUCCGGCGGUGCAGGAUGAGCCCGCGGCCUAUCAGCUUGUUGGUGAGGUAAUGGCUCACCAAGGCGACGACGGGUAGCCGGCCUGAGAGGGCGACCGGCCACACUGGGACUGAGACACGGCCCAGACUCCUACGGGAGGCAGCAGUGGGGAAUAUUGCACAAUGGGCGAAAGCCUGAUGCAGCGACGCCGCGUGAGGGAUGACGGCCUUCGGGUUGUAAACCUCUUUCAGCAGGGAAGAAGCGCAAGUGACGGUACCU